UACGAAGGGUGCAAGCGUUAAUCGGAAUUACUGGGCGUAAAGCGUGCGUAGCUGGUUUGUUAAGUCGAAUGUGAAAGCCCCGGGCUCAACCUGGGAACUGCAUCCGAUACUGGCAGACUAGAGUGUGGUAGAGGAUGGCGGAAUUCCCGGUGUAGCGGUGAAAUGCGUAGAGAUCGGGAGGAACAUCCGUGGCGAAGGCGGCCAUCUGGACCAACACUGACGUUGAGGCACGAAAGCGUGGGGAGCAAACAGG
rnacentral:rRNA from 1 species